rnacentral:lncRNA from 1 species
UCUGCCAUCUCUUAACACCUUUAUGACAAAAGGUAAACUUGUUUUCUCUCCACAUUUACCAGUAUGAAGAUGCAAAGGGAAGUUUCAUAUUUUCAGUGGAGGAAUAAUUUGUUCACAUGAAUCAGCAGAGGCUGCUCGUUGCCUCAUGGAUCAGCUGAAGUUGGCCUCCGUCUGGUUUGUAAACAGAGCAGUAGAGUUUUCAGAGGCUGGUACAUAGGCUCUCGGACUUGUCUCUGUCCGUUUCGUACAAUCCAAAUAAUUCCGUAAUAAAAGAGCCACACUUCCAAAAGGUGGCAGCUCCUGUACUAAGCUGACAGAAGAGUCAGACUUUUAAAGGAUUUUCCCAGUUUUCUAGCUUCAUUUAUUAGGAGUUGGGGGGGAAUGCGGAGUGAUUGUU